rnacentral:rRNA from 1 species
CCCUUAGAUGUCCUGGGCCGCACGCGCGUUACACUGAUGCAUUCAACGAGCUUAUAACCUUGGCCGAGAGGCCUGGGCAAUCUUGUUAACGUGCAUCGUGAUAGGGAUAGAUUAUUGAAAUUAUUAAUCUUGAACGAGGAAUUCCUAGUAAACGCAGAUCAUCAAUCUGCAUUGAUUACGUCCCUGCCCUUUGUACACACCGCCCGUCGUACCUACCGAUUGGAUGGUCCGGUGAAGCCUCGGGAUUGUGGUUCUUGCCGCUUUAUUGUGGCGUGACCGCGAGAACUUGUCUAAACCUUAUCAUCUAGAGGAAGGUGAAGUCGUAACA